UAAGCUUAAAGAAAGAGAAAGAGAGUGGGUAGAUAGAAUACAAGAGUGGUGGGUUCAAAGCAAGAUUGGUGAAUCUAGAGAUGGAGCAAGGAGGUGGUGGUGGUGGUAAUGAAGUGGUGGAGGAAGCUUCACCGAUCAGCUCAAGACCUCCGGCGAAUAUGGAAGAGCUUAUGAGAUUCUCAGCAGCGGCAGAUGACGGUGGAGGAUUUGGAGGAGGAGGAGGAAGCUCGUCUUCUUCAUCGGGAAAUAGAUGGCCAAGAGAAGAAACACUUGCACUUCUUAGGAUCCGAUCUGAAAUGGACUCUACUUUCCGUGACGCCACUCUCAAAGCUCCUCUUUGGGAACACGUUUCCAGGUUUCUCUCUCUCUCUCUCUCUCUCUCUCAUCCAUUACAAUCCUUGAAUUCUCAAAUUUUCAUCAAUGGUGUUUCUUGAGAUAACUAGAGAUCCAUUUGCAUGUGUUUCCAAGGCUUUUUUUUUAAUUCUGUUAUUAAAUAUUAAUAUAUUCGGGAUCAAGCAUCUUCACCAUCCCCGAGAACAUUAAAUAACUAUUUGUUUACACAGAAGUGUCUCAUGAAUUUCUGGGACGCUUUCGAUUUUGUAAAUCGCAAGAUUUUUCCUUUUUUCUAUAAUAAUUCCGAUCGAACAAUACCCAUGAAUAAUCAUAAUUAAAAAAAAAAAAAACAGCCAGAAACUGAGUUUUGAUGUUUGAAUGACACACACUGACAGGAAGCUGUUGGAGCUUGGUUACAAACGCAAUGCUAAGAAAUGCAAAGAGAAGUUUGAAAACGUUCAGAAAUAUCACAAACGCACCAAAGAAACGCGCGGUGGUCGCCACGAAGGUAAAACAUACAAGUUCUUCUCUCAGCUCGAAGCUCUCAACACUAGUACUACUCCUGCUCCUCCCUCUUCUCUCGACGUCACUCCUCUCUCCGUCGCCAAUCCAGUUCAGCAGCCUUCUUCUUCUUCUUCUCAAUUCCCCGUUUUCUCUCUAACCCAAACGCCACCACCGUCCCAACCGCUUCCACCGCACACAGUCUCCUUUACUCCCAAUCCAUUGCCUCCUCCUCCUCCUCCUUCAGUAGAUCCCCCAUUUCCCGGAGGUACCUUCUCUUCUCACAGCUCAUCGACGGCUUCAGGAAUGGGGUCUGAUGAUGACGACGACAUGGACGUGGAUCAGGCGGGUCCCAGUAGCCACAAACGCAAACGUGAAAACCGAGGCACUGGAGGCGGCAAGAUGAUGGAACUAUUCGAAGGUUUGGUGAGACAAGUGAUGCAGAAACAAGCGGCGAUGCAACGGAGCUUUCUCGAGGCGCUUGAGAAGAGAGAACAAGAACGUCUUGCUCGAGAAGAAGCUUGGAAACGCCAAGAGAUGUCUCGGUUAGCUCGAGAGCACGAGAUCAUGUUCCCAAACUAGCACUCAAGGUCAAAAGUCACAAAAAUAGCACUUAAUGUUUUAUCAAAAGUCACAAACUUAGGGUUUAGAGUUAAAGGGUGGGGUUUAGGAUUUAGGGUUUAGGGUUUAGGGUUUAGAGUUUAGGGUUUAGGGUUUAGAUUUUAGGGUUUAGAGUUUAGGGUUUAGGGUUUAGGGUUUAGAGUUUAGGGUUUAGAGUUUUGGGUUUAGAGUUGAGAAAUGAGGUUUUGGGGAUAAGAUUUCAAAUUUUGAAAAAUAAAAAAAAUUAAAAUUUUCAAAGGAUAAAUUUAGAAAUGUGUUAUUUUGGUCAUUUUAGUUUUUGAGUGCUAUUUUUGUGAUAUAAACAUAGAAAUGUGCUAUUUUGGAGAUUUGUCCGAUAAAAUAUGUGGACCCUUUUUCAAAAUUAAAAAGAAAAGAAAAGAAAAAGAGGGUGAAGAAAAGUGGGUUUAACAAUUAUUUGCUGCAAAGUUAGAAGAGGCUCUCAGCUUUAUUAACUUCUCUUUGCUUUCAUUCUCUCUAUCUUUCAUCAUCAUCCUCGUAAUCCUCAUCUCUCCUUUCUAACACCUAGUUGCACUAAAAAAAGGCUGCUUCUUUCUCUUCCUCCAUCGUCAAUGGUUUUAUGAAGAACCCGUAAGCUUAAAGAAAGAGAAAGAGAGUGGGUAGAUAGAAUACAAGAGUGGUGGGUUCAAAGCAAGAUUGGUGAAUCUAGAGAUGGAGCAAGGAGGUGGUGGUGGUGGUAAUGAAGUGGUGGAGGAAGCUUCACCGAUCAGCUCAAGACCUCCGGCGAAUAUGGAAGAGCUUAUGAGAUUCUCAGCAGCGGCAGAUGACGGUGGAGGAUUUGGAGGAGGAGGAGGAAGCUCGUCUUCUUCAUCGGGAAAUAGAUGGCCAAGAGAAGAAACACUUGCACUUCUUAGGAUCC
rnacentral:lncRNA from 1 species